GGGGGUGAUCGGUCUCGACUUGAGUUGGCAGGGUAUAGGUGGCAUGCCGGGGAAGCUUGGUCGGCCCCGUUAACAAUCCAGGCACAAAUAAACGCAAACGACUCAACGUUAGCGGCAGCCGAGAGAAUCGUUGCUCCGAUUUUCGAGGCUGCACCAGUCUUAGUUUAAAACUAAACUAAGCCCUCUUGCGGGUCUCGCCUGCGGAUCUGACAAGAGGACAUCAGCGGGCUGGCUGGAAGCGACUGCCUUAGCGUUUCUAGCGAGAUCUUGAAGGCUGGCCCUAAGGAUCCUGUCUAGCGGAGGAAUUAGGGUGAGACACAAAAGAUAGACUACGCAUGUAGAGGCCUAUAUUUUGUAACCCAAGGACCCGGGUUCGAUUCCCGGCACCUCCACUU
rnacentral:tmRNA from 2 species